rnacentral:rRNA from 1 species
AGAGCGAACGCUGGCGGCAGGCUUAACACAUGCAAGUCGAGCGGGCGUAGCAAUACGUCAGCGGCAGACGGGUGAGUAACGCGUGGGAACGUACCUUUUGGUUCGGAACAACACAGGGAAACUUGUGCUAAUACCGGAUAAGCCCUUACGGGGAAAGAUUUAUCGCCAAAAGAUCGGCCCGCGUCUGAUUAGCUAGUUGGUGAGGUAACGGCUCACCAAGGCGACGAUCAGUAGCUGGUCUGAGAGGAUGGUCAGCCACACUGGGACUGCGAACGGCCCAGACUCCUACGGGAGGCAGCAGUUAGGAAUUUUCGGCAAUGGACGAAAGUCUGACCGAGCGACGCCGCGUGGAGGAUGACGCCUUUCGGGGUGUAAACUCCUUUUCUGCGGGAAGAUAAUGACGGUACCGCAGGAAUAAGCACCGGCUAACUACGUGCCAGCAGCCGC